GGCUGAGAGAGAGGAGAGCUUCAGAUCUGCAGGUGCUGGAUGCAGAUGGGAUUCUCCUGCUCGAACUGCUGCUGGGAGAAUAAAGCCAGAGUCUCUCCUUUGUGGACUUCAACAACAGAGAAAAUAUCCCCUUCUCUAAGGACACCUUCUCAGACUGCCCCAGCCAGAGUUUUCCUAAUUAAUGCACACGAAAUGAAUCAUCCCAUGGAAAAAUCCCAAGAAAUCAGUAGAAAACUCUUCACUCAAACAUAGUGGCCUCUCUCUGCACCCUGUCUUCUCUGGCUACCUGUGUGUUUACAUCCUGAAAGUCAUUGCUUACGACAGCGUAAUGAGGCUAAAGGGAAGGAGACACAGAUGGACCAUCACACAGUUUCAAAUAGGCAGUCAUAUUGGAUCAGCAGUGCUCCAAGGCCGUGAUGAAGGCUUCUUGAGUCCUG